rnacentral:lncRNA from 1 species
GCUGGUUCAAACACAGCUUCCUUGUAUAGUGAUUGAAAAUGAUUUAAAGGAAAAGAUUAUUUACUGAUUUUACUGUAUUAAGCUUUGGGGAUGGAUAAGUGACUGCUCACUUGUUUUUGGUAUGUGAUCCCACCAGAUGAGCAGGCUCUUAAUCACUUCUUUACUCAACUUGAAGACCUGAACAUGUUUUGACACACAGCUCUGCUGCUUGCUGCUGGCUUUGCUGUUUCUGUAACUGUUUUGUAGGUGCCUGCUUGAAUGCUGCUUGAUCGAUGGCAAGUCAUUUUAACAUGCACACAAACCGCAUCCGUAUCCAAACAAUACCCCAGUGAAGGCACAAGAGGAGAGAAGUGCUCAAGUAAUCCUUGAAACAAAAGACUUCAAAGUGACAGCAGCCUGUGCCUCUGGCCAUUGUAAACCUUCAUACCAGGAGGUGCCUGAACGCCACAAGAAACUUCUGUCGCCUAAUGCAGAUCACAGUCUUGCCAAGAUAAUGGCAGAGCUAGAACAAAUACUGCCGGAGGAUAAGUUGCUAGUACAUCGGACACAGGGACAAAAGAGAUC